rnacentral:rRNA from 1 species
CAGAAAGACCCUAUGAAGCUUUACUGUAACUUGAAAUUGAAAUUGGACUUUAUUCGCGCAGUAUAGGUGGGAGGCGUUGAGAAUACUCUUGCGGGAGUAUUGGAGCUAUUAGUGAGAUACCACUCUUAUAAUGUUAGGUUUCUAACUUUGAACCAUUAUCUGGUCAAAGAACAGUUUCAGGCGGGCAGUUUGACUGGGGCGGUCGCCUCCCAAAUGGUAACGGAGGCGUACAAAGGUUUCCUCUGAACGGAUAGAAAUCGUAUCUAGAGUGUAAAGGCAUAAGGAAGCUUGACUGUGAGACCUACAAGUCGAGCAGGGACGAAAGUCGGUCUUAGUGAUCUGACGGUACUGAGUGGAAAGGCCGUCACUCAACGGAUAAAAGUUACUCUAGGGAUAACAGGCUGA